rnacentral:rRNA from 1 species
AUUGAACGCUAGCGGGAUGCUUUACACAUGCAAGUCGAACGAAUGGCAGACGGGUGCGUAAUAUCUCGGAACGUGCCCAGUAGCGGGGGAUCACUACUCUAAAGGAUGGCUAAUACCGCAUACUAUUGGAGCGGCCGAUAUAGGAUUAGCUAGUUGGUGGGGUAAAGGCUCACCAAGGCAACGAUCCGUAGCUGGUUUGAGAGGAAGACCAGCCACACUGGGACUGAGACACGGCCCAGACUCCUACGGGAGGCAGCAGUGGGGAAUAUUGGACAAUGGGGGAAAGCCUGAUCCAGCCAUCCCGCGUGUAUGAGAAGGCCUUCGGGUUGUAAAGUACUUUUGGCAGAGAAGCGGUAUCUGCAGAAUAAGCACCGGCUAACUACGUGCCAGCAGCCGCGGUAAUUC